CUCCCUCCUCUCUCCCCGUCCAUGGAUCUAGGCGCGCCGGCCGAUUCCUUCCUUCCCCGCCGGCCAAAUCUUCCCUUCCCCGCCGGCCGACUCCCUCCUUUCCUCGGUGCCCACUAACUCCUCUCAUUCCUCUCAUGAUUUGCUGCAGAACAGAGGGAGCUCGAUCUGGAUCUGCAGUUGCGGCGGCUUGCAGAGGAAUAGCAGCGGGGCGGCGGCUUCUGGCAGGCUGACAGCGGCAGCAGAGGCCCAGCACACCAUCCCAAUCUCUAGAUGGCCAAGAAGAUGAACAAAAGAAAAAAGAUGGUUAGGGGAGCUACUGUUUUUGUUGCACUAGCUGCAAUGGCAGUCAUUAUUCGGGCUAUAAUAAGGAAAAGAAGACCACGCAUUACCUAUGGGCCAAUGCAUGAAAGAGAUCGAAUCAGAUUUGAUUAUCUAAACCAAAAAAUAUGGCAAAGUGAUGUGUUGUGCAAAAACAUGUUAAGGUUUGAAAGAGCUGCAUUUUUUAAUUUGUGUAGCAUAAUAAGGGAUCGCAAGUUGCUAGAAGACAGUCCACAUCUUAGUGUGGAGCAACAAUUGGCGAUGUUUUUGCAUACAAUUGGGCAUAACCUUCGGAAUAGGGUUGUGUCAGCCAAUUUUUGUAGAUCAUACGACACAACCAGCAUCUAUUUUAGAAAGGUUCUUCAUGCCAUAGGCGAGCUUCGUAAUGAUUAUAUACGGCCACCAUCAUUGGAGACCCCCACAAAAAUUGCAGGAAAUCAUCGGUUUGACCCAUAUUUUAAGGUAAUUUCUAAAACUAUUCGUUAGGUAUGUAGGCUAUAUGAUAUGGUAUUUACUACUUGUCACUAUAUAGGAUUGUAUUGGAGCUAUCGAUGGUACACAUGUGCGAGCAGGUGUUACCAAAGAUGUGGAGCAUUCUUUUCGUGGUAGGAAGGCCUUUACAACCCAAAAUGUGAUGGCAUCGGUAGAUUUUGAUCUCCGCUUCACGUAUGUAUUGGCUGGUUGGGAAGGGUCAGCACACGAUGCAACCGUUUUAGCUGAUGCGUUAACGCGUGAGAGAGGCUUACAAGUACCACCAGGGAAGUUCUACCUAGUUGAUGCCGGUUAUGGAGCCAAGGCCGGGUUCUUACCACCUUUUCGUGGUGUGAGGUACCAUUUGAAUGAGUGGGGCAACAAUCCAGUCCAAAAUGAUAAGGAGCUAUUCAACCUUAGGC